rnacentral:rRNA from 1 species
AGCGAACGCUGGCGGCAGGCCUAACACAUGCAAGUCGAACGGAUCCUUCGGGAUUAGUGGCGGACGGGUGAGUAACACGUGGGAACGUGCCUUUUGGUUCGGAACAACUCAGGGAAACUUGAGCUAAUACCGGAUAAGCCCUUCGGGGAAGGAUUAUCGCCAUUAGAGCGGCCCGCGUCUGAUUAGCUAGUUGGUUGAGGUAAAGGACGUCACCAAGGCUACGAUCAGUAGCUGGUCUGAGAGGAUGAUCAGCCACAUUGGGACUGAGACACGGCCCAAACUCCUACGGGAGGCAGCAGUGGGGAAUAUUGGACAAUGGGCGAAAGCCUGAUCCAGCAAUGCCGCGUGAGUGAUGAAGGCCUUAGGGUUGUAAAGCUCUUUUACCCGGGAUGAUAAUGACAGUACCGGGAGAAUAAGCUCCGGCUAACUCCGUGCCAGCCGCCGCGGU